UUCCAGCAGUUAGCUCCGGCCUACGCAUGCUCUAGUAGGGGACCGAUGAACAUAAGUGAAUGAUCCAGUGAAAUAAAUAAAAGAAAGCAAAAAGGCAACUCCGGUAUAGGUGACCCUCACAAAGUCAUUUAAACCGAAAAUGUUGUAAAAAUCUGCUAAAAAAGAAAAAGAAAAAGAAAAACUCGCCCGCUAUUAGUUAAUUC
rnacentral:lncRNA from 1 species